rnacentral:rRNA from 1 species
UACGAAGGGGGCUAGCGUUGUCCGGAAUUACUGGGCGUAAAGGGCGCGUAGGCGGCUCGAUAAGUAGGAGGUGAAAUCUUACGGCUCAACCGUGAGGCUGCCUUCUAGACCGUCAAGCUUGAGCACGGUAGAGGCAGAUGGAAUUCCCGGUGUAGCGGUGGAAUGCGUAGAGAUCGGGAAGAACACCAGUGGCGAAGGCGGUCUGCUGGGCCGUUGCUGACGCUGAGGCGCGACAGCGUGGGGAGCAAACAGG